rnacentral:rRNA from 1 species
GAACCGUGCGAACGUUGUUCGGAAUCACUGGGCUUAAAGGGCGCGUAGGCGGCCGCACAGGUCUUGGGUGAAAGCCCCCGGCCCAACCGGGGAAGCGCCCUCGAUACCGGGCGGCUCGAGGGGGGUAGGGGCCCGCGGAACUUCCGGUGGAGCGGUGAAAUGCGUUGAUAUCGGAAGGAACGCCGGUGGCGAAAGCGGCGGGCUGGACCCCUCCUGACGCUGAUGCGCGAAAGCCAGGGGAGCGAACGGGAUUAGAUACCCCGGUAGUCCUGGCCCUAAACGAUGGGCACUAGGUAGGGGGCCGGCAUGGGCCCCCUGCCGAAGCCAAAGUGCUAAGUGCCCCGCCUGGGGAGUAUGGUCGCAAGGCUGAA